GGGGGAUAACACUUAGAAAUAGGUGCUAAUACCGCAUAAGCGCACGGUUCCGCAUGGAACAGUGUGAAAAACUCCGGUGGUAUACGAUGGAUCCGCGUCUGAUUAGCCAGUUGGCGGGGUAACGGCCCACCAAAGCGACGAUCAGUAGCCGGCCUGAGAGGGUGAACGGCCACAUUGGGACUGAGACACGGCCCAAACUCCUACGGGAGGCAGCAGUGGGGAAUAUUGCACAAUGGGGGAAACCCUGAUGCAGCGACGCCGCGUGAGUGAAGAAGUAUUUCGGUACGUAAAGCUCUAUCAGCAGGGAAGAAAAAAAGUCCUUUGGACUUUGGACGGUACCUGACCAAGAAGCCCCGGCUAACUACGUGCCAGCAGCCGCGGUAAUACGUAGGGGGCAAGCGUUAUCCGGGUUUACUGGGUGUAAAGGGAGCGUAGACGGCAGCGCAAGUCUGGAGUGAAAUGCCGGGGCCCAACCCCGGAACUGCUUUGGAAACUGUGCAGCUGGAGUGCAGGAGAGGUAAGCGGAAUUCCUAGUGUAGCGGUGAAAUGCGUAGAUAUUAGGAGGAACACCAGUGGCGAAGGCGGCUUACUGGACUGUAACUGACGUUGAGGCUCGAAAGCGUGGGGAGCAAACAGGAUUAGAUACCCUGGUAGUCCACGCCGUAAACGAUGAUUACUAGGUGUCGGGGGGCCAAGGCCCUUCGGUGCCGCCGCAAACG
rnacentral:rRNA from 1 species